UUUGCGGUCAAGUUAGAAAGGGCAUACGGUGGAUGCCUUGGUGCCAGGAGGCGAUGAAGGGCGUG
rnacentral:rRNA from 1 species